AACGAACGCUGGCGGCAUGCCUAACACAUGCAAGUCGAACGAGAUCUUCGGGUCUAGUGGCGCACGGGUGCGUAACGCGUGGGCAUCUGCUCUUUGGUUCGGCAUAACAGCUGGAAACGACUGCUAAUACCGGGUGAUGACGCAAGUCCCUAGAUGUAGCGCCAGGGGCUGAGCCCGCGUAGGAUUAGAUAGCUGGUGUGGUAAGGGCGCACCAAGGCGACGAUCCUUAGCUGGUCUGAGAGGAUGGUCAGCCACACUGGGACUGGGACACGGCCCAGACUCCCACGGGAGGCAGGAGUGGGGAAUAUUGGACAAUGGGCGAAAGCCUGAUCCAGCAAUGCCGCGUGAGUGAUGAAUGCCUUAGGGUUGUAAAGCUCUUUUACCCGGGAUGAUAAUGACAGUACCGGGAGAAUAGGCUCCGGCUAACUCCGUGCCAGCAGCCGCCGUAA
rnacentral:rRNA from 1 species